rnacentral:rRNA from 1 species
AACGAACGCUGGCGGCGUGCCUAACACAUGCAAGUCGAGCGCGAACGGAGCAAUCCUAGUAGAGCGGCGCACGGGUGCGUAACACGUGGGUAAUCUGCCUGGGAGUCCGGAACAACCUGCCGAAAGGCAAGCUAAUGCCGGAUAAGCCCACAGGAUCUUCGGAUCUGGUGGGAAAAGAUGGCCUCUAUUUAUAAGCUAUCUCUUCCAGAUGAGCCCGCGGCCCAUCAGCUAGUUGGCGGGGUAACGGCCCACCAAGGCAACGACGGGUAGCUGGUCUGAGAGGCCGAUCAGCCACACUGGAACUGAGACACGGUCCAGACUCCUGCGGGAGGCAGCAGUGGGGAAUUUUGCGCAAUGGGCGAAAGCCUGACGCAGCAACGCCGUGUGUGUGAUGAAGGUUUUCGGAUCGUAAAGCACUUUCGACCGGGAAGAAACCGCAUUGGCUAACAUCCAAUGCUCUGACGGUACCGGGAGAAGAAGCACCGGCUAACUCUGUGCCAGCCGCCGCUGUAAAAC